AUCUCAGUGCCCUCUGACCCCCAUGUCAGAGCCCCUCUGCCCCCCAUCUCAGUGCCCCACUGACCCUCUCAGUGCCCUCUGACCCCCAUCUCAGUGCCCUCUGACCCCCAUCUCAGUGCCCUCUGACCAUCUCAGUGCCCCUCUGACCAUCUCAGUGCCCCUCUGACCCCCAACUCAGUGCCCCUCUGACCAUCUCAGUGCCCUCUGACCCCCAUCUCAGUGCCCCUCUGACCCUCAUCUCAGUGCCCCUCUGCCCCCCAUCUCAGUGCCCCUCUGACCCCCAUCUCAGUGCCCCUCUGACCCCCAUCUCAGUGCCCCUCAGACCCCCAUCUCAGUGCCUCUCUGACCCCCAUCUCAGUGCCCUCUGACCCCCAUCUCAGUGCCCUCUGACCCCCAUCUCAGUGUCCCUCUGACCCCCAUCUCAGUGCCCCUCUGACCAUCUCAGUGCCCCUCUGACCCCCAUCUCAGUGCCCCUCUGACCAUCUCAGUGCCCCUCUGACCAUCUCAGUGCCCCACUGACCCUCUCAGUGCCCUCUGACCCCCAUCUCAGUGCCCCUCUGCUCAUCUCAGUGCCCUCUGACCCCCAUCUCAUGCCCCUCUGACCCCCAUCUCAGUGCCCGUCUGACGCUCAUCUCAGUGCCCUCUGACCCCCAUCUCAGUGCCCUCUGACCCCCAUGUCAGAGCCCCUCUGACCCCCAUCUCAGUGCCCUCAGACCCCCAUCUCAGUGCCCCUCUGACCCUCUCAGUGCCCUCUGACCCCCAUCUCAGUGCCCCUCUGACCAUCGCAGUGCCCUCUGACCCCCAUCUCAGUGCCCUCUGACCCCCAUCUCAGUGCUCCUCUGACCCUCUCAGUGCUCUCUGACCCCCAUCUCAGUGCCCUCUGACCCUCUUAGUGCCCCUCUGACCCCCAUCUCAUGCCCCUCUGCCCCCCAUCUCAGUGCCCCUCUGACCUUCUCAGUGCCCCUCAGACCCCCAUCUCAGUGCCUCUCUGACCCCCAUCUCAGUGCCCC
ensembl:lncRNA